rnacentral:rRNA from 1 species
GGGGAUUAGUGGCGAACGGGUGAGUAACACGUGGGCAAUCUGCCCUUCACUCUGGGACAAGCCCUGGAAACGGGGUCUAAUACCGGAUAACACUCCUACGGGCAUCUGUGGGGGUUAAAAGCUCCGGCGGUGAAGGAUGAGCCCGCGGCCUAUCAGCUUGUUGGUGAGGUAAUGGCUCACCAAGGCGACGACGGGUAGCCGGCCUGAGAGGGCGACCGGCCACACUGGGACUGAGACACGGCCCAGACUCCUACGGGAGGCAGCAGUGGGGAAUAUUGCACAAUGGGCGAAAGCCUGAUGCAGCGACGCCGCGUGAGGGAUGACGGCCUUCGGGUUGUAAACCUCUUUCAGCAGGGAAGAAGCGAAAGUGACGGUACCUGCAGAAGAAGCGCCGGCUAACUACGUGCCAGCAGCCGCGGUAAUACGUAGGGCGCGAGCGUUGUCCGGAAUUAUUGGGCGUAAAGAGCUCGUAGGCGGCUUGUCACGUCGGGUGUGAAAGACCGGGGCUUAACCCCGGUUCUGCAUUCGAUACGGGCUAGCUAGAGUGUGGUAGGGGAGAUCGGAAUUCCUGGUGUAGCGGUGAAAUGCGCAGAUAUCAGGAGGAACACCGGUGGCGAAGGCGGAUCUCUGGGCCAUUACUGAC